rnacentral:lncRNA from 1 species
AUCAAUCAAUAUUUAGCUCAGUGUGCAACCCGCCUGAGCGCAGUGUAUGAUCCAUGUGUGCCGGCAUCAGUUUCCUUCCUUAUUGAACAGGAAAAAGUUAUUCCUACGUCAAAAAUACCGUCGCAAACGUAUAAUGUAUGUAAAAUUCGUGUAGUGAAUUUAUUAUUGAAGAAGGUUAAUUGAGCGCAAAUAUUAUUUUUUUUAAAUUUAAGAACCAAAUCAUUUACGGUUAAUUUACUUCAGAACUCAUCAACCUCUUUUCGUUGAAAUGAUCUAUUGAGCAGUUUUUCUAAUGUGUUUUUAGUGACUCAUACAUUGAAUUCCAUUUGGAAAUCUUUCAUUUUUUAAAGCUCAAUCGUAGUUUGUGUUUACGGACUCAAGCUGAGGGUGUCAACUUUUGGAGAGAAGCUAGGAGCUCGGAUUUCAAGAUGUUGUAUAUUAUUCUAGUGUGCUGGUUAUUGUUCCUGAAGCGUUUCAAAUAGGAAAUCAUCCCAGCUGGAAAUCCUCACGGCAUCAUCAUGGAUCAAUGAAAACUAACGAGGGGUUUUUCAACCGGCACCGACAGCGAUCAAUGACAGACGGAAAUUUCCGGCCAAGCUCCAAAUAUUACUCUCCAGCUUCCUACAGCCCAGCCCAAGGAUCAACCGGGAAACAUUCAAAUUAUUAUUCAGGGAGCCCGGACAAGUAUCAACCUUUUUGUAAAAACAUACAAUCUUUCCGUAAUUUUUAUUCAAAUUCAGCCGCAACGCACGGAUUUAAGUUCGAGCGUAGUGCCCCUACUUAUCCGGGGAAAAUUGCUCAACAGAAAAUGAGGCAACCACCACCGAACAGCCUAGCAGUACUACAGAGCACCCCUCGACAACCAAGGCAACAACUACUGAACAACCGACCACCUCGGAAUACCCCUCAACAACUAAAGCAACAACCGCUGAACAGCCUACCACCUCUUCAGAAUAUCCUUCAACAACCACUGAACAGUCUACCACCACAACAGAAUACCCUUCAACAACCACUGAACAGCCUACCGCCACAACAGAAUACCCUUCAACAACCACUGAACAGCCUACCACCACCACGGAGUACCCUUCAACAACCGAGGCAACAACCACUGAACAGCCUACCACAACUACAGAAUACUCUACAACAACCGAGGCAACAACCACUGAACAGCCUACCACAACUACAGAAUACUCUACAACAACCGAGGCAACAACCACUGAACAGCCUACCACAACUACAGAGUGCCCCGCCACAACCGAGGCAACAACUACUGAACAACCUACCACCACGACAGAUGCAGAAAAGACAUAUGAAUCACCCAAACCAGAUGACACCUCAAGUUAUGCAAGUGCCUCAAGCUGGGCAAGUUCAUCAAGCGGCAGUCGAUAAUCACAGGAUUUCUAAGGAAUUGAAGCAACAAGGGAUACUGCAUAAUGCGGUGUCAUUUCAGGAUAUGCCUGAAAAUAAGAACCAGCAACGAUAUCUGAACGGCCUUACGACACACCAGAAUACCGUUCAGGGACCAAAUCAACAACGCGUACUCAACACUCAACCCUCUCGUCAGAAUAUCCCUCUGAAUCCGAACCAGGAAUGGCCUCUAAACAGACCAAUACAGCCUCAAAAUAGCCGUCAAAACCAGAACCAGCAGAACUCACAGAACAGUGUAGCGCCGUCCCAAAUGCAGAAGCGUCAUUCAAAUCAUCCAAAUCAACAGAAGAAAACUCAAAGUGAACCAGCUUAUCAAAUCACUCGUAGGCCUCAAUCGGAUUAUGCUCGGCAGGUAAAUGGAAUCCGCCCAAAUUCCAAUCUGAAGACACACACACCCACGGAUAACUUCUGGGAUGCAAACUCAAAGGUAACUAAUAAUAAAGGGAUCAAUUUCAAACCUCAGUCCACAAUACUUCCACAAAGUAUCGCAAAGUCACACAUUGGAUUUUUUGAUGGCAGAAAAAUAAUUUCAGUGACCGAGCACAUUCUAGAGUAAAGCGUAGUUCGGACUGUAGUAGGUCGAAAAAAUGGAGAGCAAGGUUGAUGAAAGAGCGUAUAAGUCAGAGGAAGUUGCGAUGGCAGAACAGCAAACAAAGACGGAGCCUGAAAGAUGAGAUACUCAAUCCAGUGCUACCACUUUGAAAAACAAAUUUCUACUUCUAUGGGUCAAGCAAGCCCGUCCCUGGAAUAAAAAUUGAGCUAUAUGACACUGUUUUUGAAUAGUGGUAAAAUAUCAGUCUCUUCAAGAAUGUUGUUAAAUUAAUAUAAUUCGUUCUGUUCGAUUUUCAAUUCUUUCUGAGUCUCUCUAAAUAUGUUCACUAAAACGUAAAUGAAUACUAGAGAGCCCGGCCACUUCCAAUAAAAAAUUGAAAUCGUAAUCACACAGAAAAUGAGUAUUUAUUUUCCUUUUCACAAAGAAAACAAUCAAUAAUGUAUUAAUGUUAAACGGAACUAUGUGCAUUGGAUUUGCAUGCCAUGUAGUUCCUUUUAACAUUAAAUGUGCAAAUAACACGCAUGCAAGCUACAGAAUUGUGUUCUGAUGUGAAAUCUCAUUUAUUCGUCGAAAAUAAUGAGAUUAGCUUGAACAGCAGUCGAUGACUGAAGUCUAAAAACGCAUAUCUCAAGUUUGACGUAUUUUAUGAAAAGUAACCAUCUCAAUUGUGACGUGGGGCCCAAGACCCAUAAGAAUACACGUAUGGCAGGGUUCAUGUCACAGUGGAGAUAGUUCCUUUUCAGUCAAACACGUCCAAUUGAGACUUCGCUGAUCGCCGCCGCCCAUAUGUUAUUCGUUAUAUAGUGAACUAACUAACAUUUUUGCUUGCAGUUCUCUGAGAAUUUUCCUCGCUCAUUCAAAAAUAUCCACAGACAAUUUGAAGGGGAUUUUUUAUUUAUUUAAUCUCAAAAUAAAAUUAAUCGUAGAUUGAAACGGAGAUACGCAUUUUGGAUUUUACCCAUUAUUAGUAACAGAGUCUUUACUACUUGUAAAAGUAAAGAUGCGCGACCCUUUUCUUCGCCAAACUGAAUAGGGAGGAUCCUUACACCCUUGUUUUUGUCAAUCUUUGCCAAAUUCUCAGUUUAGAUUUUAAAAUUGACUAAGUUCUGAUCGACAAAAUCAAAGUAGAGGACACUUAACUUUUAGCCCAUUCAUA